AUUUAUUUAUUUGCUGUUGAAUGUUGGCCUAUAUAUACAGGCCUUUAAGUAUGUCCGGCUUAACUUUGAAAUUUUGUUUCACUCUCCUCCUGUUUGUCUUGAACUCCGUCUACUAUUGUUCUCCACGUCCUUCACUUCACAUUGAAACCUUUCUUUUAGCUACGAAUUGCAUAUCCCACUCCCCAAAACUAAAACAGGCAAGUCUUUCAAACCUGUUUUUUUAUUUUUUUCUAUUUUUUUCUUUUGUGGAGUUCUAUUUUCUGAUUAUUUCAUUAAUCCCAUGUAUUUCACCUAUUGCUACCCAUUUGUUUGAAAAAUUGGACCCUAACCCCCACUAAGGACACCAUUGUUAAUCAACAAAAUGACAGUUACCCUUUUUUAAUCCGAACACCGAACGCUCACUACUCAGAAGGAUGACACUUUGACCCUUGUUCAACUCGAACACCCAACCCCAUGCGUAGCCAUUGCUGUCGCCGGCGCCUCUAGCGGCUUCCUUGAGGGUUGCCACGAUGUCGACAGAUGAAUCCGUAGCAUUAAUUGUUUCUACUUCACCGCCUCAAGCUCCAGAAGAAACGGAAAUCAGAAGACACAUAAAAUUGUAUCAAGCUGCACUACGUGGUGAUUGGAAGUAUGUGAUAGAUUCACGUAAUAUAACAG